rnacentral:tRNA from 1 species
GCAUCAGUGGUUCAGUGGUAGGAUUCUCGCCUUCCAUGGAGAGACCUGGGUUCAAUUCCUGGCCAAUGCA